rnacentral:rRNA from 1 species
CCUAGCCAACACGAUCCUAUUGCCUGGGUUAUUUUUGUGCUACAAA